AGUGAACGCUGGCGGCAUGCCUAACACAUGCAAGUCGAACGACAGCACGGUAAGAGCUUGCUCCUACGGGUGGCGAGUGGCGGACGGGUGAGGAAUACAUCGGAAUCUACUAUUUCGUGGGGGAUAACGGAGGGAAACUUACACUACUACCGAAUACUAUCUACGGCUUAAAGCAGAAGUUCUUCGGACCUUGCCCGUCUCAUUGAGCCGAUGUCGGAUUAGCUAGUUGGCGGGGUAAAGGCCCACCAAGGCGACGAUCCGUAGCUGGUCUGAGAGGAUGAUCAGCCACACUGGAACUGAGACACGGUCCAGACUCCUACGGGAGGCAGCAGUGGGGAAUAUUGGACAAUGGGCGCAAGCCUGAUCCAGCCAUACCGCGUGGGUGAAGAAGGCCUUCGGGUUGUAAAGCCCUUUUGUUGGGAAAGAAAAGCAGCAGGUUAAUACCCCGCUGUUCUGACGGUACCCAAAGAAUAAGCACCGGCUAACUUCGUG
rnacentral:rRNA from 1 species